rnacentral:rRNA from 1 species
CCUACGUGGGGCAGCAGUGAGGAAUAUUGGUCAAUGGUCGUAAGUCUGAACCAGCCAAGUCGCGUGAAGGAUGACUGCCCUAUGGGUUGUAAACUUCUUUUAUCUGGGAAUAAAAUGCUCCACGUGUGCUGUUUUGUAUGUACCAUAUGAAUAAGGAUCGGCUAACUCCGUGCCAGCAGCCGCGGUAAUACGGAGGAUCCGAGCGUUAUCCGGAUUUAUUGGGUUUAAAGGGAGCGUAGAUGGGCUGUUAAGUCAGUUGUGAAAGUUUGUGGCUCAACCAUAAAAUUGCAGUGGAUACUGGCAGUCUUGAGUACGGUUGAGGUAGGCGGAAUGCGUGGUGUAGCGGUGAAAUGCUUAGAUAUCACGAAGAACCCCGAUUGCGAAGGCAGCAUACGAAACUGUGACUGACGUGGAUGCUCGAAAGUGUGGGGAUCAAACAGGAUUAGAUACCCGAGUAGUC